rnacentral:rRNA from 1 species
AUUGAACGCUGGCGGCAGGCCUAACACAUGCAAGUCGAGCGGAUGAAGGGAGCUUGCUCCUGGAUUCAGCGGCGGACGGGUGGGUAAUGCCUAGGAAUCUGCCUGGUAGUGGGGGAUAACGUCCGGAAACGGGCGCUAAUACCGCAUACGUCCUGAGGGAGAAAGUGGGGGAUCUUCGGACCUCACGCUAUCAGAUGAGCCUAGGUCGGAUUAGCUAGUUGGUGGGGGAAAGGCCUACCAAGGCGACGAUCCGUAACUGGUAUGAGAGGAUGAUCAGUCACACUGGAACUGAGACACGGUCCAGACUCCUACGGGAGGAAGCAGUGGGGAAUAUUGGACAAUGGGCGAAAGCCUGAUCCAGCCAUGCCGCGUGUGUGAAGAAGGUCUUCGGAUUGUAAAGCACUUUAAGUUGGGAGGAAGGGCAGUAAGUUAAUACCUUGCUGUUUUGACGUUACCAACAGAAUAAGCACCGGCUAACUUCGUG